AGUGAACGUUGGCGGCGUGGAUUAGGCAUGCAAGUCGAGCGAGAACCGUAGCAAUACGGGGACAGCGGCGAAAGGGACAGUAAUGUGUAGGUACCUACCUCCGGGUUCGGGAUAGCUGCGGGAAACUGCAGGUAAUACCGAAUAACGUCUCCGGACCAAAGGUGUGAUUCCACCUGGAGAGGGGCCUGCAUCCUAUUAGCUUGUUGGCGGGGUAACGGCCCACCCAGCCGACGAUGGGUAGGGGGGGUGAGAGCACGACCCGCGUCAUUGGGACUGGUGCCCUGCCCAGACACCGACGGGUGGCUGCAGUCGAGGGUCUUCGGCAAUGGGCGCAAGCCUGACCGAGCGACGCCGCGUGCGGGAUGAAGGCCUUCGGGUUGUAAACCGCUGUCGUAGAGGAGGAAGUGCAGGGGGGUUCUCCCCUCUGUUUGACCUAUUCUAGGAGGAAGGACGGGCUAAGUUCGUGCCAGCCGCCGCCGCGG
rnacentral:rRNA from 1 species